rnacentral:ncRNA from 1 species
ACCAAGGAGUCUAACAUGUGCGCGAGUCAAUGGGUCCCUCGAAACCCAGAGCUGCAAUGAAACGUGAAGGCGUGGCCUUCGUGCCGUGUCAAGUUGCGAUUCUGGGCUGCCGAGGGUUCUGAUGAAGGGAGCAGCAACGGCCCGCCUCACACGCUCACGUCGUGGGGGCGCGCUAGAGCGCACACGUUGACACCCGAAAGAUGCUGAACUAUGCCCGGGCAGGAUGAGGCCAGAGAAACUCUGGUGAGGUCCGAAGCGCUUCUGACGUGCAAUCGAUCGUCCGACCGAGUAUA